CUUGGUCAUUUAGAGGAAGUAAAAGUCGUAACAAGGUCUCCGUUGGUGAACCAGCGGAGGGAUCAUUACAGAGUUGCAAAACUCCCUAAACCAUCGCGAACCCACCCCUAAACAGUUGCUUCGGCGGCGCCCGAAGGCCCUCACCGGCCGGAGCGCCCCGCCGGGGACCCCCCAAACUCUUGUUUUUAACAAAAUGGCCUCUCUGAGUACUGUACUUUAAUAAGUCAAAACUUUCAACAACGGAUCUCUUGGUUCUGGCAUCGAUGAAGAACGCAGCGAAAUGCGAUAAGUAAUGUGAAUUGCAGACUUCAGUGAAUCAUCGAAUCUUUGAACGCACAUUGCGCCCGCGAGUAUUCUCGCGGGCAUGCCUGUUCGAGCGUCAUUUCAACCAUCAAGCCCCCGGCUUGUGUUGGGGACCUGCGGCUGCCCGCAGGCCCUGAAAUCCAGUGGCGGGCUCGCUGUCGCACCGAGCGUAGUAGCAUACUUCUCGCUCCGGGAGCGCGGCGGGCGCCUGCCGUAAAACCCCCUACAUACCAAAGGUUGACCUCGGAUCAGGUAGGAAUACCCGCUGAACUUAAGCAUAUCAAUAAGCGGAGGAAAAGAAACCAACAGGGAUUGCCCUAGUAACGGCGAGUGAAGCGGCAACAGCUCAAAUUUGAAAUCUGGCCUCGGCCCGAGUUGUAAUUUGUAGAGGAAGCUUUUGGCACGGCACCUGCUGAGUCCCCUGGAACGGGGCGCCAUAGAGGGUGAGAGCCCCGUAUAGCAGGACGCCUAGCCUCUGUAAAGCUCCUUCGACGAGUCGAGUUGUUUGGGAAU
rnacentral:sRNA from 1 species